rnacentral:rRNA from 1 species
AGAUUGAACGCUGGCGGCAUGCCUAACACAUGCAAGUCGAACGGGAGUAGCAAUACUCUAGUGGCGGACGGGUGAGGAAUACGUAGGAAUUUGCCCUUAAGUGGGGGAUAACCCGGGGAAACCCGGAUUAAUACCGCAUGACCUCGAAAGAGCAAAGUGGGGGAUCGCAAGACCUCACCGCUUUUGGAGAAGCCUACGUCGGAUUAGC